rnacentral:rRNA from 1 species
AUUGAACGCUGGCGGCAUGCCUUACACAUGCAAGUCGAACGGCAGCACGGGAGCUUGCUCCUGGUGGCGAGUGGCGAACAGGUGCGUAAUACAUCGGAACGUACCCAGUAGUGGGGGAUAACGCACCUAAAGGUGCGCUAAUACCGCAUACGACAUACGGGUGAAAGCGGGGGACCGUAAGGCAUCGCGCUAUUGGAGCGUCCGAUGGCUGAUUAGCGAGUUGGCGGGGUAAAAGCCCACCAAGGCGACGGUCAGUAGCUGGUCUUCGAGGACGAUCAGCCACACUGGGACUGAGACACGGCUCCGACUCCUACGGGAGGCAGCAGUGGGGAAUUUUGGACAAGGGGGGCAACCCUGAUCCAGCAAUGCCGCGUGUGCGAAGAAGGCCUUCGGGUUGUAAAGCACUUUUGUCAGGGAAGAAAUCUUUCAGGCUAAUACCCUUGGAAGGAUGACGGUACCAGAAGAAUAAGCACCGGCUAACUACGUGCCAGCCGCCGCCGUAA